rnacentral:lncRNA from 1 species
CUCAGGUGAAAGCAGGCUGAUUGGCUGAUUGGCUGCAGGUGUUGACUCACUGCAGUGCGUGUUUCUGUGGGUUUAUUCAGACGUGUGUAACAGAGCCAGCAGGCAACGUUAGUUAUUAACACAGCCGCCGCUUAGAAACCACUCACAGGGUUAAAUAUUAAGCAGGAAUGGGUCCUCUUCAAGUGGUUUCUCACCGACUUCAGUCCAUUAAGCAGCUGACAAACGAGAAUCAGAAGUCUGGUUUAUUUUAGCAGAAAAAAAUCAUGUUUGGACAAAACAUUACAGCGAGCAAUGGUUCAACUAAUCAUCUGAAUAACUGAGAGGGAGAAACCGAGUGUGCCUAACGUAUUAACCAGCUGAGUUCAAGAUGUUAAAAAGCCAAUGGCUGCUGCAUACAUUACUGUUGAGUGAGUCGGUACUGAGGGUUUUACAAACCAGGAUCAGUCGCUGUUCUAACCUAAAAAUGGACACAACACAACGCCGCAGCAGAGGUCAAAGGGUUCUGGUCCAAAGCCGGGAAAAGGACAAGCAGGGUGGAAGGUGUCACCCUCCGGUGCUUUAUGGCGCCGCCGGCCUUAACGACGUCUAACAAAAUGUCAGCAGCCGACCAAUGAUGCGCCGGCAGCCAAGACAGAGAGAUUUAGUCAAGUGGGAAGUCUUUAAGAGUCAUUUUAGAGAGCAAGAUAAAAGAAUGGGGGAGGGGAGACGAAGCCUCCAGCUCCAGGCCUCCUCCGCCCACUGCUCCGUUCCUCAACCCAGGUGCAUUUGGACUGUCCACGCUGAACCAGCGGCUCGUUCUUUACUUCCUGUGGAGUCAUUCAAUUUAUUAGUCAAAGUCAGUCGCUCCUGAUGUUUAUUUUCUGCUCCAGGUCCAUUUUUAGUCAGUUGUAUAGAACUGUUAGCUUCUGCUUAGUGCAGCGUCUGGUUUCUUCCACUGCUUCCUCUGAAGUUUGAGUUUUAGCCAGCUCCACUGUAAUAAAUCUAGUGUAUGUUCAAAGAGUGACUCGUGU